UACGGGGGGGGGCAAGCGUUGUUCGGAAUUACUGGGCGUAAAGGGCUCGUAGGCGGUCCCGUCACUGUCGGGAGUGAAAACUCAGGGCUCAACCCUGAGCGUGCUUCCGAUACGGGCGGACUAGAGGUAUGCAGGGGGAGAACGGAAUUCCGGGUGUAGCGGGUGGAAUGCGUAGAGAUCCGGAAGAACACCGGUGGCGAAGGCGGCUCGCUGGGCAGUGGCUACGCUGAGGCG
rnacentral:rRNA from 1 species